rnacentral:sRNA from 1 species
UGCUCCUGUCUUCUGCUCCUCUAGUGAGCCAUUCCUCUCCCUUGGAAUUCAUCAGAGUCAUCCCUGUAGAGCCCCCUUCCUGCCUCUCAAUUCCUCCUGCCUCACUUCCCAGGCUACUGCUGCUUCAAGACAGUGACGUUUCUCUCCGGUCAGCUGUCAGGAGCGCUGGUGAGCUUCCUACUGUGCCACAAGGUGCGGGUGCUGGAGACACAGCUGAGCCUGGAAAUGAGAGUGGGCAUCGCCGUGGUCAUCAUGACUCCUCUGCGGCGUGGUCACCAUGUUGGUUCACUGUGUUGGGCUCUUAUUGACUGGUCUCCUGCUAGGCCUGACCUUGGGUGCCGGAGCCCUGCUGGCUUCUGAGCCUAUCUACCAACCACCUUCAGCCUGGGUGCCAGCUGGGGGCUGGUGGGGCUGGCGCUGCUGGGAGCCCUGCUCACACUUCGGUGGCCACGUCCAUUCACAGUGCUGGGCACAACCCUACUGGGUUCUGCAGUGCUUGUGGCCUGUGUUGACUACUUCCUGGAGGGGCUGGCACUGGGGAGUUGGCUGGGCCAACGCCUGCAGACACUUCCAGCCUUGCCUUCUCUCUGCUGAUAUAGCUGGGUCUUACUGGGGAUCUGGCCAGCCUUGGGGGCCCUUGGAGCCCUGGCCCAGUGGAAGCUCGUGCCUGAGGAACAUGGAGGCCACGCUAAUGAGUUACUUCCAGAGUCUUCAAGAGUGCCAACUGGGACCAGGACCCCAGACCACAGCCCCCCACACCGUCCUGGACCUGGAUUCUGACUGUGGUUCCACUGUACCCCUCACCUUAAUCUCUGGUUCUAACCAGACCUGAGCCUAGACUUCCACUUUUUCCCUUACCCCUGUGAGGGCCUGGGAACACUAGGUGGGCAGGGUUUGAGCCCACAGGACCUGCACACAAACUUCCCCACCUCUUGGACUUGGGGACAGGAUCUGUGCCUCAACCCAGACCAGCUUUGUAGGGAUAUGUUCCAAGAACAGAGAAGAGUCUUAUGGGGAAGGGGGAGGAAGGGAAGUAUGAAUAUUUACCUCUGACCAAUAAUAGAGGUGCCCUGGUCCCCAAAGAAAUUGACUCCCGAAUUCCCUCCAAGCCUUACCCAUAUAGCUUUUGUUUGUUUGUUUUGAGACAAGGUCUUGUUCUGUCCAGUGCCGUGGCAUGACCACAGCUCAUGACAACUUUGAUUUCCCCGGCCCAAGCGAGCCUCUCAUUCAGCCUCCCGAGUGGCUGGGACCACAGACGCCACACACAGCUAAUUUUUAUUUAUUCGUUUUUAUUUUUUUGCAGAGACAGGGUCUCCCAGUGUUGCCCAAGCUGGUCUUGAACUCCUGGGCUCAAGUGAUCCUCCUGCUUCAGCCUCCCAAAGUGCUAGGAUUAUAGCCACCGCACCUCGUCUUGAAAUAGCCUUUUAAAUAUUCACCUCAGCUUGCCUCACAGUGGGUCUGUUCCUGGUUUCCCAGAUGCAUAAAGGAAGACAUAUCCCUCCCCUGGGCAGCAAGGCUACAAUGGGAGGGAGGGAGAACAUGGGAGCAUGUGAAUAAAAUGGCAUUAAAUACUGAA